rnacentral:rRNA from 1 species
UACGAAGGGGGCUAGCGUUGCUCGGAAUUACUGGGCGUAAAGGGCGCGUAGGCGGACAGUUUAGUCAGAGGUGAAAGCCCAGGGCUCAACCUUGGAAUUGCCUUUGAUACUGACUGUCUUGAGUUCGGGAGAGGUGAGUGGAAUGCCGAGUGUAGAGGUGAAAUUCGUAGAUAUUCGCAAGAACACCAGUGGCGAAGGCGGCUCACUGGCCCGGUACUGACGCUGAGGUGCGAAAGCGUGGGGAGCAAACAGG